ACUUUUUAGAAUUCGUAAACCUAUUGACUAAUAACCAUUUGCUUUUGUUAAAAGGUAGUUUCCAUAGAAAAAAAUAUACAUUGACAUCCUUAUCUACCAAGAAGCCUAAAAUCAAUACAUUUGAAGCAAAAGUUUGCUACCAACCAUACAAAAGAUUAACUAUUGAUCAAUUGCUCCAAGUUGGCUUCAAUGCUCCAAUGGAUUCUUCCAAACCUAGUACGAAAACAAAAUCUCAUUUUAGAAUAUGACUAAAGAACAUUACCUAUAAGAAGGUUCUACUUAAAGUUAUUUAAAGGUAAUUAAGGAACAUUACCAUUGAUGUAAGAUUGAAAGAAAAAAAAAAAUAAUAGUGAGAUUAUAGGAGAAUAAUUAAAGUGCCUAAACUUCUGUGAUAAAAUUUCCAGCCCUCCUCUCCCAACCCUUCAUUCCAACCCCCUCCCAACACAAUCAAAAAGCAAUGAAAAUAGCACACACAAAACAUGUCUUCAGUCAAUAGGUCAUAAGUUAAUACUCCCAUUGAUGUAAGAUUGAAAAAAAAAAAACAAUAGUGAGAUUAUAGAAAAAUAACUAGAGUGCCCAAAACUUUUGUGAUAGCAUAUUCAGCCCUCCUCCAACCAAGUGAUAGUUGCCAACAUC
rnacentral:lncRNA from 1 species